GAUGAACGCUGGCGGCGUGCCUAAUACAUGCAAGUCGAGCGAACGGACGAGAAGCUUGCUUCUCUGAUGUUAGCGGCGGACGGGUGAGUAACACGUGGAUAACCUACCUAUAAGACUGGGAUAACUUCGGGAAACCGGAGCUAAUACCGGAUAAUAUUUUGAACCGCAUGGUUCAAAAGUGAAAGACGGUCUUGCUGUCACUUAUAGAUGGAUCCGCGCUGCAUUAGCUAGUUGGUAAGGUAACGGCUUACCAAGGCAACGAUGCAUAGCCGACCUGAGAGGGUGAUCGCCCACACUGGAACGGAGCCACGGUCCAGACUCCUACGGGAGGCAGCAGUAGGGAAUGUUACGCAAUGGGCGAAAGCCUGACGGAGCAACGCCGCGUGAGUGAUGAAGGUCUUCGGAUCGUAAAACUCUGUUAUUAGGGAAGAACAUAUGUGUCAGUAACUGUGCACAUCUUGACGGUACCUAAUCAGAAAGCCACGGCUAACUACGUG
rnacentral:rRNA from 1 species